rnacentral:rRNA from 1 species
AUUGAACGCUGGCGGCAGGCCUAACACAUGCAAGUCGAACGAGUGGCGGACGGGUGAGUAAUGUCUGGGAAACUGCCUGCUGGAGGGGGAUAACUACUGGAAACGGUAGCUAAUACCGCAUACCAUCGGAUGAGCCCAGUUGGGAUUAGCUAGUAGGGGGGGUAACGGCUCACCUAGGCGACGAUCCCUAGCUGGUCUGAGAGGAUGACCAGCCAAAGGGGAACGGGGACACGGUCCAGACUCCUACGGGGGGCAGCGGGGGGGAAUAUUGGAAAAUGGGCGAAAGCCGGAUGCAGCCAGGCCGGGGGGAUGUAGAAGGCCUUCGGGUUGUAAAGUACUUUCAGCGGGGAGGCGUUACCCGCAGAAGAAGCACCGGCUAACUCCGUGCCAGCCGCCGCGGUAAUAC